rnacentral:rRNA from 1 species
UACGUAGGGUGCAAGCGUUAAUCGGAAUUACUGGGCGUAAGGCGUGCGCAGGCGGUUGGCAAAGUCAGCUGUGAAAGCCCCGGGCUUAACCUGGGAAUGGCGGUUGAAACUAGUCGACUAGAAUCUGGCAGAGGGGGGUGGAAUUCCACGUGUAGCAGUGAAAUGCGUAGAGAUGUGGAGGAACACCGAUGGCGAAGGCAGCCCCCUGGGCUAACACUGACGCUCAUGCACGAAAGCGUGGGGAGCAAACAGG